CGGGACCCUGCAACGAGUCGGACACAAUGACCAUGAUUACUGGGCAGAUUCAUCGCCAUGCAAAACGACUUCCAAGUCUCACCAUGGGAGGAUGUUUGCAGCGCAAUCUGUUCAGACAACACCUGUAACAACACCAAGCCAAGGUUGACUAAUUAACAGAACACCAAGAGACACAAUACAACAGGGAAGGCGCCUGUCAUUGCUGACACUAUUGGGCGUGACAGAUCCCCACAUUGUUUGAAAGCCACUCACAGGAGACCCAGGGAAUCCUACUGCACCGGUUGGACCAGGCUCCCCAGAAGCUCCCUAUAACAGAUGUUGGGUCAGAGGUCAGUACAGAGGUAUAUGAGAACUAUUAACAGUAUAUUGCAAUUGUCUUUUUUUACUAUGGGACAAUUGUACACAAUAUAACUUACAGUAUUUCACGUGUGUCAAUAAUUUUACAAAAUGAAUCGCAGUACUUACGGCCACUGCUCUCGCUCCUCGACGUCCAGGGGGCCCUUUAGGGCCGGCCUCUCCCUAAAACAAACAAAUAUAAUAUAUUGUCUGGGUAUCUGUGGUAGGCACUGAGGCCUUAAUAUGGUGAGGUGUUCUCUGCUACAGUGUAUGUUCAUCUAGUCUGUCUGUCUAAGUGCUGUUGGUGACUGUAUGCUGGAUGCUCCUUUAGGGUCUAGGCAGGGUUACUGUUAUUAAAGCACUAUGUGACAA